rnacentral:tRNA from 1 species
GCCGCCGUGGCUCAGUAGGUAGAGCGACAGCCUGUUAAGUUGUUGGUCGCAGGUUCGAGCCCUGCCGGCGGCGCCA